AAGUGUGUUUCCCUAGUUAUAGAGGAAAAAGACAUCUUCAUUGUUGAGACACACUUCCACAAUAUGACGUUCUAGAAGAGAAGAGGCCGGUAUGACAAGCUAAGUCAAAAGUUCUGCUUCCUCUUCUGAAACGUCACCUACACAAACUGCUGGGAAGAGCGCACCACAAGCUGGGCUUUUAGAAAUGUGCAAAAAUGUUGUGUGGUUCCAGGAACAUGCUAUGCUAACACGAGUGCAUCACAGAAACUCGGUAACACUUUUCUUUCUGCGCUGAUAAACCGAGUCCUCUUUACUCUCGAUCCAGGACCUGGGGCAGAGGCUCGAUAACUAGAGCACGUCUAGUGACUUUUACCCUGAAUGCACUGUGGUUUCUCAGAAGCGGAGCAGAUUACAGAUAGGCAGGGAAUUAACUACAACGUGAUGGUUCCUGGAAUUUAUUCAUAACGAGACGAUGUAAUCAUCUCCUGAUGCAAAGAAUCUGGUCUACCAGUGUUCGUACACCUGAAAAAAAA